rnacentral:rRNA from 1 species
CUGCAACAGCUAGAGUUUGAUCCUGGCUCAGGAUGAACGCUGGCGGCGUGCCUAACACAUGCAAGUCGAGCGAACUCUUCGGAGUGAGCGGCGGACGGGUGAGUAACGCGUGGGUAACCUGCCCUGUACACAUGGAUAACAUACCGAAAGGUAUGCUAAUACAAGAUAAAAUAUAUUUAUCGCAUGAUAGAUAUAUCAAAGCGUUAGCGGUACAGGAUGGACCCGCGUCUGAUUAGCUAGUUGGUAAGGUAAAGGCUUACCAAGGCGACGAUCAGUAGCCGACCUGAGAGGGUGAUCGGCCACAUUGGAACUGAGACACGGUCCAAACUCCUACGGGAGGCAGCAGUGGGGAAUAUUGCACAAUGGGCGAAAGCCUGAUGCAGCAACGCCGCGUGAGCGAAGAAGGCCUUCGGGUCGUAAAGCUCUGUCCUCAAGGAAGAUAAUGACGGUACUUGAGGAGGAAGCCCCGGCUAACUACGUGCCAGCAGCCGCGGUAA